GACAGAGGUGCCAAGCGUUAGGCGGAAUCACUGGGCUUAAAGCGUGUGUAGGCGGACUUGUAAGUACCUUGUGAAAUCCCACGGCUCAACCGUGGAACUGCUUGGUAUACUGCUUGUCUUGAGCCACUUAGGGCUACCGGAACAAAUGGUGGAGCGGUGAAAUGCGUAGAUAUCAUUUGGAACGCCAAUGGUGAAAACAGGUAGCUGGGAGUGUGCUGACGCUGAGACACGAAGCCAGGGGAGCGAACGGG
rnacentral:rRNA from 1 species